CCAUAAGAGGUCCAGCCUGCCCAGUGAUAAAAUUCAACGGCCACGGUAUCCUAACCGCGCGAAGGUAGCAUAAUCACUUGUUCUUUAAAUGGGGACUUGUAUCAACGGCAUCACGAGGGUUACACUGUCUCCUUUUUCUAAUCAGUGAAACUAAUCUCCCCGUGAAGAAGCGGGGAUACUAAUAUAAGACGAGAAGACCCCAUGGAGCUUCAAACCCAACUACACCCCCAACCCCUAUAACUACUAAAUCCUUGAGGCCCUGUAUCGUUGGUUUUAGGUUGGGGCGACCACGGAGUACAACAAAACCUCCACAAUGAACGGAAUUAAUUCCUAAUCUAAGAACUACAUCUCUAAGAAUUAAAAUACUAACAUAAAAUGAUCCAUUUUUUGAUUAA
rnacentral:rRNA from 1 species